GCCCAGCUUGCUGGGCGGAUUAGUGGCGAACGGGUGAGUAAUACGUGAGUAACCUGCCCCUGACUCUGGGAUAAGCCUGGGAAACCGGGUCUAAUACUGGAUACGACCUUCCACCGCAUGGUGGGGGGUGGAAAGGGUUUACUGGUUUUGGAUGGGCUCACGGCCUAUCAGCUUGUUGGUGGGGUAAUGGCUCACCAAGGCGACGACGGGUAGCCGGCCUGAGAGGGUGACCGGCCACACUGGGACUGAGACACGGCCCAGACUCCUACGGGAGGCAGCAGUGGGGAAUAUUGCACAAUGGGCGAAAGCCUGAUGCAGCGACGCCGCGUGAGGGAUGACGGCCUUCGGGUUGUAAACCUCUUUCAGUAGGGAAGAAGCGCAAGUGACGGUACCUGCAGAAGAAGCGCCGGCUAACUACGUGCCAGCAGCCGCGGUAAUACGUAGGGCGCAAGCGUUGUCCGGAAUUAUUGGGCGUAAAGAGCUCGUAGGCGGUUUGUCGCGUCCGCUGUGAAAGCCCGGGGCUCAACCCCGGGUCGGCAGUGGGUACGGGCAGACUAGAGUGCAGUAGGGGAGACUGGAAUUCCUGGUGUAGCGGUGAAAUGCGCAGAUAUCAGGAGGAACACCGAUGGCGAAGCAGGUCUCUGGGCUGUUACUGACGCUGAGGAGCGAAGCAUGGGGAGCGAACAGGAUUAGAUACCCUGGUAGUCCA
rnacentral:rRNA from 1 species